CCUACGGGAGUCAGCAGUGAGGAAUAUUGGUCAAUGGACGAGAGUCUGAACCAGCCAAGUAGCGUGAAGGAUGACUGCCCUAUGGGUUGUAACCUUCUUUUAUAAAGGAAUAAAACGAGGCACGUGUGCCUUUUUGCAUGUACUUUAUGACUAAGGCUCGGCUAACUCCGUGCCAGCAGCCGCGGUAAUACGGAGGCUCCGAGCGUUAUCCGGAUUUAUUGGGUUUAAAGGGAGCGUAGAUGGGUUGUUAAGUCAGUUGUGAAAGUUUGCGGCUCAACCGUAAAAUUGCAAUUGAUACUGGCAGUCUUGAGUACAGUUGAGGUAGGCGGAAUUCGUGGUGUAGCGGUGAAAUGCUUAGAUAUCACGAAGAACCCCGAUUGUGAAGGCAGCUUACUAAACUGUGACUGACAUUGAUGCUCGAAAGUGUGGGUAUCAAACAGGAUUAGAUACCCUUGUAGUC
rnacentral:rRNA from 1 species